rnacentral:rRNA from 1 species
GAAUCUGCCUUCUGGUCGGGGACAACCACUGGAAACGGUGGCUAAUACCGGAUGAGCCGAAGGGUAAAAGAUUAAUUGCCAGAAGAGGAGCUCGCGUCUGAUUAGCUAGUUGGUAGGGUAAAAGCCUACCAAGGCAUCGAUCAGUAGCUGGUCUGAGAGGACGAUCAGCCACACUGGGACUGAGACACGGCCCAGACUCCUACGGGAGGCAGCAGUGGGGAAUUUUCCGCAAUGGGCGAAAGCCUGACGGAGCAAGACCGCGUGAGGGAAGAAGGCUCUUGGGUCGUAAACCUCUUUUGUUAGGGAAGAACACAAUGACGGUACCUAACGAAUCAGCCUCGGCUAACUCCGUGCCAGCAGCCGCGGUAAUACGGAGGAGGCAAGCGUUAUCCGGAAUUAUUGGGCGUAAAGCGUCCGCAGGUGGCGAUUCAAGUCUGCGGUCAAAGACUGGGGCUUAACCCUGGAAAGGCCGUGGAAACUGAAAAGCUAGAGUGCAGUAGGGGUAGAGGGAAUUCCCGGUGUAGCGGUGAAAUGCGUAGAGCUCGGGAAGAACAUCGGUGGCGAAAGCGCUCUGCUGGACUGCAACUGACACUCAGGGACGAAAGCUAGGGGAGCG